AACGAACGCUGGCGGCGUGCUUAACACAUGCAAGUCGAGCGAGAAAGGGACUUCGGUCCUGAGUACAGCGGCGAACGGGUGCGUAACACGUGGAUAAUCUGCCUUCGGGCUUGGAAUAAC
rnacentral:rRNA from 1 species